UAAAACAUCGAAGACUUUUUAGGAUGCAGAA
rnacentral:piRNA from 1 species